UACGGAGGGUGCAAGCGUUAAUCGGAAUUACUGGGCGUAAAGCGUGCGCAGGCGGUUUGUUAAGUCCGCUGUGAAAUCCCCGAGCUCAACUUGGGAAUUGCAGUGGAUACUGGCGGGCUGGAGGGAGGUAGGGGCGGAUGGAACUUCCGGUGGAGCGGUGAAAUGCGUAGAUAUCGGAAGGAACGCCGGUGGCGAAAGCGAUCCGCUGGACCUCUUCUGACGCUGAGGCGCGAAAGCCAGGGGAGCAAACGGG
rnacentral:rRNA from 1 species